rnacentral:rRNA from 1 species
UGGGGAAUAUUGGACAAUGGGGGCAACCCUGAUCCAGCAAUGCCGCGUGUGUGAAGAAGGUCUUCGGAUUGUAAAGCACUUUCGACGGGGACGAUGAUGACGGUACCCGUAGAAGAAGCCCCGGCUAACUUCGUGCCAGCAGCCGCGGUAAUACGAAGGGGGCUAGCGUUGCUCGGAAUGACUGGGCGUAAAGGGCGUGUAGGCGGUUUACACAGUCAGAUGUGAAAUCCCCGGGCUUAACCUGGGAGCUGCAUUUGAUACGUGUAGACUAGAGUGUGAGAGAGGGUUGUGGAAUUCCCAGUGUAGAGGUGAAAUUCGUAGAUAUUGGGAAGAACACCGGUGGCGAAGGCGGCAACCUGGCUCAUGACUGACGCUGAGGCGCGAAAGCGUGGGGAGCAAACAGGAUUAGAUACCCUGGUAGUCCACGCUGUAAACGAUGUGUGCUAGAUGUUGGGUAACUUUGGUUAUUCAGUGUCGCAGUUAACGCGUUAAGCACACCGCCU